CCUACGGGAGGCAGCAGUAGGGAAUGUUGCGCAAUGGGCGAAAGCCUGACGCAGCAACGCCGCGUGAUUGAUUAAGCCCUUCGGGGUGUAAAGAUCUGUCAGUGGGGACGAAACUUGACGGUACCCACAGAGGAAGCACCGGCUAACUCCGUGCCAGCAGCCGCGGUAAUACGGAGGGUGCAAGCGUUGUCCGGAAUCAUUGGGCGUAAAGAGUUCGUAGGUGGCAUAUUAAGUCUGGUGUUAAAUGCAGAAGCUCAACUUCUGUUCGGCACUGGAUACUGGUAAGCUUGAAUGCGGUAGAGGUAAAGGGAAUUCGUGGUGUAGCGGUGAAAUGCUUAGAUAUCACGAAGAACUCCGAGUGCGAAGGCAGUUCACUGGACUGCAACUGACACUGAGGCUCGAAAGUGUGGGUAUCAAACAGGAUUAGAUACCCCUGUAGUC
rnacentral:rRNA from 1 species